rnacentral:tRNA from 1 species
GAGACUUUAGUUUAAUUGGUAAAACAUACGACUUUUAAUCGUUAUAUUGUAAGUUCGAGUCUUAUAGGUCUUA